AUUUAUUUUUAGGUAAGGAAAAUGGGGGGAAAAAAUUAAAAACGUGGUGCUAAAUCCAAGUUGCUAAUCCAGUCUUCUGCAUAGGAAGGUCAGUUCACAGAAGAACUGGUGUGUUUCUGUUGACAUGAAUAUCCCAAGGAGCUGGUCAGCUCUGCAUCAGUUGGCCACUACAGCAAUAUUUGGCUUACCUCAGGGAAACGGAUAUUCUCCCAGAGAUCUCAUCGCAGUUUUUGAAGAUUCAUGGGGUGUGAAAAUACUUUGUGUUCCAUCAGCAGAUAAUAUAGGAAAAGAUGGACAGACGGUGGCCCAUGAAGUCACUCCCUCAGCUCUAGGAUUUAUACAAAAGUGUGUCUCCUCCCACGGUUUGUUUCUGAUAUUGGUUUGUGUAGAUCAUCUGCACAGACUUUGAUUUCUUUAUUCCUUAUAUGUGUGUUGCAGAAGUCUGUGUAUGUUUUAAAAAAUAAUUUUUCUGUUUGGGUGAGACUCCAUGAAGUGGGUGCCACUGAAGCAUAUUUGUGUAUCUCAGUGUAGUCCCAUCUCCUCUGAUACUGUUUCUUCUGUGCUGUAUUACUGCUGUUACUUCGAAACAAAACACAGUUGUUAAAAAAAAAAGUGCAAAGAAAACUAUCAAAAAGGGACAGUGACUGCCUCAGAAUUGGCACAUUGAUUGAAGUAAACACCAGAAGCAUUGCCACUCGUGUUUCAAGAAGUGUAACAUAAAUAAUACACCCACUAAUUGAAAUGCAUACAAUAUGGCUGUUCUUGAUUCAAGUGAGAAGCGUGAAAUGCAUUUAUUUUUAUGAAGAGUAAAACAGACUUUGCCAACCAUACACAACAGGGUGGGCAUCCCGCUAGCUCAAAUUCUGCAAGCCCACAGCCGGACCUAUUAGCAAAAAUGAAGUGACUUAAUACCCCGGGGUGUGAUUUACCUGUUUAAGAACUAUAUUGUUGCACUAAAGAAAAAGUAAACCAAACCCAGGGGCUUCUUUCUCUGAUUUCUGUGGCCGUCGGACAGUAGGUUAUAUGUAGCUUUUCAUUUCGUUAUUUGUGUUUCUUUCUCCUUUAAUUGGGCUGUGAUACGUGAGGGUUUUCGGGUGUAGGCAACGUAUUAUUUUCUAUGUCAGGAAUGUAUCAAGUUGCUACCUGUGUGCCGAACCAUGCCUGAAAAAAAAAAGUAAUGGAUUAUAAGGAAAUGUGAAGAAAAAUAAAAAGAGAAAUGGAAAGAAAUGAAAUAAAUUGAAACAGAGUAAUAAAAUAAUAGAUAACAAAGAUAAAUAAAGUAAAACAAGACAAAAUCCGGCAGCGUCAAGUCGCUGCUGCAACGUCCUCGGGGCCUCAUGGAAGGCUACGUGCUUCGUGCAUGAGACCCCGGGCGACCUCGGCACGAGUGGGAGCUCCGUACCGGCGGGGUUGGGGCCGGAGGGCGGCCCCGCGGCUCAGAGAGGGCGAAGAAGGGGAAGCACAGGCCGGCAGGGGCUGCACGGUGCGUCCCUCGGUGCGGGGCUGCCCCCGGCCGCCGCUGACAGCGUCCCGGGGCUUCCACCCUGCUGCGGGUACCUGCGCUGCUUCCACGCGACUCCUGCGUUCACUCUUCUAUGGGGGGAAUUCCGGGUCGGAAACGAGUGGAACGGGAGUUUCCUACCGCCGGGAGGGAUGGGUGGGCAGGAGGCAGAGCCGGGGAAAUGGAAAGGCGGCCGGCCAGCGAAGAACAGGGAAGGCGUUCUGAUGCAGCCCCGCAGCUCCUUCCCGAGGUUGAGACCUGCCCCGCACGGACGCUGCCGAGAGGUUCCCGUCCACUGGAAAUAAUCAAACAAGACCCUACAAGUUGAACCGAAGAGCUGCCUCUUCCAGAGGAAAUUGAGCUCUUACGCAGGAGCGGAUUGAAGUAGCUCUUCCCCAUCCGCCCCUUGAAGUCAGACCGAACCCUCUCGCCUAUUCCAUCUCCUCUCCCACGCGUGGGGCCGGGGCUCCCACUUCGUGCGGAGUCUCCGCGCGAUGCCGGCCCUGGUCCCAUCCCACGGGCACGGAAGAAAAGAUAUAGCAGAGCCCUGCUCUCCCCUCCUCUCGGGGGCUGCGGAAGGACACGGUCCCGUCGUGCCGUAUUCCCCGCGCAUCCCUCGCAGCGCUGAGCCCCGACCAGACGGGAAGCACCGCACCGCCGCGCUCCUCCGCUCCGCACACGGGAGGUUUCCGGCCGCCGGGGCUGGGGGGGGGAUUUCCAGGAGCGGCUGACAGCGCCUGAGGCGCGCUGAUCCAUCUGUGCAACGAGCUGAAACGCUCUCUUCUAGGAAGAUAACAGACCGCCUGCCCGAGUCUCACCUUCGGGGGCAACGUUAGGAGCAGGAAGCCGCGGCCGGACAACAGGAGGCGCUGCGGCUUUGCACAACCUCGGCCUCCGCGCACGGCGCGGCACUGCUCAGCACGGCGCUGCCAGCGCGACUCAGCG
ensembl:lncRNA